rnacentral:rRNA from 1 species
UACGGAGGGUGCAAGCGUUGUUCGGAAUCACUGGGCGUAAAGCGCGUGUAGGCGGCCUUCUUAGUCUGGUGUGAAAGCCCGGGGCUCACCCCCGGAAGUGCAUUGGAUACUGGAAGGCUGGAGUACCGGAGAGGAGGGUGGAAUUCCUGGUGUAGCGGUGGAAUGCGCAGAUAUCAGGAGGAACACCGGUGGCGAAGGCGGCUCACUGGCCCGGUACUGACGCUGAGGUGCGAAAGCGUGGGGAGCAAACAGG